GGUAGGAAGAAGAUUCUAAGGCCAACGGGAGAAGGGUUGUUAAGGAACUCGGCAAAUUGACCCCGUAACUUCGGGAGAAGGGGUGCUCCAGAGAUGGAGCCGCAGAGAAUCGGCCCAAGCAACUGUUUACCAAAAACACAGGUUUGUGCUAAAUCGAAAGAUGACGUAUACGAGCUGACGCCUGCCCGGUGCUGGAAGGUUAAGAGGAGAUGUGCAAGCAUUGAAUCGAAGCCCCAGUGAACGGCGGCCGUAACUAUAACGGUCCUAAGGUAGCGAAAUUCCUUGUCAGGUAAGUUCUGACCCGCACGAAAGGCGUAAUGAUUUGGGCACUGUCUCAACAGCCCGCCCGGCGAAAUUGUAGUACCGGUGAAGAUGCCGGUUACCCGCGACAAGACGGAAAGACCCCAUGGAGCUUUACUGUAGCCUAAUAUUGGGUUUCGAUGUUGCAUGCACAGGAUAGAUGGGACACAGGGAAACAAUCGCUUUGGCGGUUGCGGAGUGGCCGUUGGGAUACCAUCCUUGCGAUAUUGGAAUUCUAACCUGCGGCUCUGAAUCGAGUCGGGGGACAUUGUUAGGUGGGCAGUUUGACUGGGGCGGUCGCCUCCUAAAGAGUAACGGAGGCGUUCAAAGGUUCGCUCAGCUUGAACGGAAAUCAAGCAAAAGAGUGCAAACGCAGAAGCGAGCCUAACUGCGAGACUGACGGGUCGAGCAGUAACGAAAGUUGGAGUUAGUGAUCCGGUGGUAUGUGAGUGGAAAUGCCAUCGCUCAACGGAUAAAAGCUACCCUGGGGAUAACAGGCUGAUCUCCCCCAAGAGUCCACAUCGACGGGGAGGUUUGGCACCUCGAUGUCGGCUCAUCGCAUCCUGGGGCUGAAUUCGGUCCCAAGGGUUUGGCUGUUCGCCAAUUAAAGCGGUACGCGAGCUGGGUUCAGAACGUCGUGAGACAGUUCGGUCCCUAUCUGUCGUGGGCGCAGGAUAUUUGAUGGGAGCUGUUCCUAGUACGAGAGGACCGGAGCGGACGUACCUCUGGCGCACCAGUUGUUCUGCCAAGGGCAUAGCUGGGCAACUAUGUACGGAUCGGAUAAACGCUGAAAGCAUCUAAGCGUGAAGCCGACCCAAAGAUAAGAUAUCCCAUUGUUUCAAACAAGUAAGACCCCUUGAAGACUACAAGGUUGAUAGGCACGAUGUGUAAGUGGAGUGAUCCAUUCAGCAAGUGUGUACUAAUAGAUCGAGGGCUUGACCAC
rnacentral:rRNA from 1 species